AAAAAAGGCGACCGGUGUUUGAAAUGAAUCCACAGAGACGCAGACAGACUUCGGUUUUAUCAUUCUGACGUUUAAACCACACAUUUAUAGGGAAGCAACGAGAUGCGGAAAACAAAAGCUGAUGUUCUCUGGAACAGAGAGAGAAGAGAGAGAGAGACGGGAAGUCCAGAGACACGCAGAGCCCUGAGAAGACACACGGCAGGAGGAGACGGGAACGAACACGCUGCAGAGGCUCCAUCAGCAGCCGCUCCGCGCCACAGACGUGCACAUGCAUGUGGACAGAAAUAACAAAAAUGCCGUUUCAGACCCACGCAUGGAUUCACACGCUCACAGACGCACACACAUAGCUCGUUAGUCUGGCUUUGAAAAAAAAAA